UUUUGAUGAUCCUUCCUUGGUCCAUUUUCUGCCCAAUACCAUGCACAACAAACACAAUGUGACUAGUUUGUGGUGGCUUGUCUUCCAAGGUAGCUUCUUCUACAUAGCCUCUAUGUAGCCUUGUCCCACUACUUGAAGCUUUGGAAAACCCCAACUUUUGUGUAACAGUUCUUGCAAUUUUAGAUGUUGUUGCAUCACUGUACAGAUACACUUCAUCCACACUGUGCCAGUCCACAUGGUUGCGACUCAACUUUAGACUAUGAAUAGCUUCCUUUCCAUCAACAGGUUUUGAUACUUCCAUAUCAAAGCUCUCUUGCAUCUGCUGGCCCCG
rnacentral:lncRNA from 1 species